rnacentral:rRNA from 1 species
CGCGAAGAACCUUACCAGGUCUUGACAUCCUUUGACCAUCCUAGAGAUAGGACUUUCCCUUCGGGGACAAAAUGACAGGUGGUGCAUGGUUGUCGUCAGCUCGUGUCGUGAGAUGUUGGGUUAAGUCCCGCAACGAGCGCAACCCUUAUUGUUAGUUGCCAUCAUUCAGUUGGGCACUCUAGCGAGACUGCCGCAGACAAUGCGGAGGAAGGUGGGGAUGACGUCAAAUCAUCAUGCCCCUUAUGACCUGGGCUACACACGUGCUACAAUGGAGAGUACAACGAGUUGCGAAGUCGUGAGGCUAAGCUAAUCUCUUAAAGCUCUUCUCAGUUCGGAUUGUAGGCUGCAACUCGCCUACAUGAAGCCGGAAUCGCUAGUAAUCGCGGAUCAGCACGCCGCGGUGAAUACGUUCCCGGGUCUUGUACACACC